rnacentral:rRNA from 1 species
AUUGAACGCUGGCGGCAGGCCUAACACAUGCAAGUCGAACGCGUGGCGGACGGGUGAGUAAUGUCUGGGAAAAUGCCUGAUGGAGGGGGAUAAAUACUGGAAACGGUAGAUAAUACCGCAUACCAUCAGAUGGGCCCAGAUGGGAUGAGAGUGUUGGAGGGGUAACGGCUCACAAAGGCGACGACCCCUAGGUGGUCUGAGAGGGUGACCAGCCACACUUGAACGGAGACACGGCCCAGACUCCUACGGGAGGCAGCAGUGGGGAAUAUUGCACAAUGGGCGCAAGCCUGAUGCAGCCAUGCCGCGUGUAUGAAGAAGGCCUUCGGGUUGUAAAGUACUUUCAGCGGGGAGGCGUUACCCGCAGAAGAAGCACCGGCUAACUCCGUGCCAGCAGCCGCGGUAAUAC